ACAAAUACAUUUGAGUAACGUAAUCAACAGGCUAUCUGCCCGUGUUAAGUAGGGAGGGAUGGUUAGGCAACCAAAUGUAAUGCACGCCCCUACGUUUUUUCUUCUUCUAACAGUUAGCAUGAAACGAGGAAGGGACACAGCGUCCUUUUUUUGGCCCCAGGAAACAAAAAAGUGAGAGAACAGCAGUGAGAGAAACAAAUGGAGGUGUUGAGAGAGUUGAGGAGCAGGAAGAGGAAGAGCUGGAGGAGUCUGGGGAGGUUGGUGAGAGAGCAUGUGAUGAAAGUGGGGGCUCUGACACAGAGAGGGAAAUUCCAGAGGGUGAGGAGGAGGAAGAGGAGGGUGAGGACAGGAGGAAGAAAACCUACAGGGACAGAGAGAGGGGACAGCAAGUGGAUCCAUGUGGAUCAAGUACUGCCCCAUCAGAUAUCAGCAAGUCCAAGAAUGAUGUACCAGUACAGCCCAACUUGAAUAUAUUCCCAACCAUUUUGAUGGGGGGCAGAAGACGGAGCUUCAGGCCAAACUGUCCCCUCCCCAGGCCAGCUGCAGAACAGGGUCCAGAGCGUCGGGAACUUCUCCACGUUGUCACGUUGCCUACGUCAGCCCCACCAUCAAGGGCUCGGCCCCCACCAGCCUCCAGUGUCUGAACAUCAGCGGCUGGGGAGCAGCGGGGUCAACACUGGCAUCCCUAUGCUGUGUGGAGCAGGGGCGCCGACUUCCACCACAAGCGAAAUAUCUAAUAAUAUUUUCCUUUACAUAAUUAAAGACAUUUGCACCAUAAAUUGAGGCAGAAAAGGCACACAUUUUUACCACAAUCCAGGUUUCCAAAGAGCCUGUCCACCCUCAGUGUCCUUCGGGACAGCAGCUGGAGGGACGGCUGCUACUGAUGGAUGGAUGGACUGGUGGACACCCCGCUGGCUCGGGUAACUCGCCACACCUCAACAUAAAGCUUUUCCUUGGGGACGUUUUGAAUGGGUUUGACCAAAAAGUAACUGUAACCUUAAAUCUGCUUCAGUCCUGCAUACAAGAGUUCUCCAAAAGGGCCACAAGUGAACUGACCUCUCAUGUCAUCCAUUGAAUUCUAUGCAGAAUUAUUUCGGGGAAGGCGGGAUAUCUUUUAUUUAUUUUUUUUUCUGGAUUUGAGUGGAUGCAGAUCAGGUCUAAUUUUACCGACAGCUUGAUGCUCCUGAGUUUGGUCCGUGCCAAGGGGGGAGUUGUUCCCUGUUGCUCUUGUGCAAUAAACCACUGGCUGUAGGGUACCAGUAGUACUAACCUGCUAAAGAGGCCUGCCACUUUUUAUAAAAAAAGAGCCUCACAAUACUGUAUGUAUUUAUAUAUUUAUUUUAAAUACCUUUUUUUAACUAAUCAGGUUUUUUCCCUCUGGCAACAAGCGCCAAAGAUGCUGCUAAAAUGAAUCCGUCCCUGUUGGUUUGGGCACAUUUGGUCUCAUUUUUACAAGGUCGACUGUAUGUAUCUGUGUGCAAAGCUUACUAUUAAAUGGCUAUUUAUAUAAAUAUAUAUAUUGAUGCAAUAUUAUUGAAUUUGAAAUGUGAGCAAAAGGAAAAAGUGUGAAUGUGUGUACAAACUAGUCUCACCAUGGUGUCACUAAACUGUGCAUAUUAACUCUCUGAAAUAGUUUAAGGCCCUAUAAGGGAUCUGUUCUUGUUGCACUUUGUAUAAAUCUCUGAACUUACUGAUGUUCUCAUCUUCUGUUUACUAAUGUUUGCACUUCCUUUUUAUUCGUGGAGAAGAUUUCAGUUCUACACGGCAUAAUGUAGCACUGUUUUUGUAAUAUUUGGCUUGUGUUUUUAAAUGGCCGUCACUAUGGCACAUUUCACUAAAUCCUGAGCCUUUUGUUCCUGUGAUGAGCUGAAUGAGUGAAACAUUUUAAUAAAACUCACUGAAUCAAAUAUGA